rnacentral:rRNA from 1 species
AGAGUUUGAUCCUGGCUCAGAAUCAACGCUGGCGGCGUGCCUAACACAUGCAAGUCGAACGAGAAAGGGGAGCAAUCCCUGAGUAAAGUGGCGACCGGGUGAGUAACACGUGACUAACCUACCUUCGAGUGGGGGAUAACUCCGGGAAACCGGGGCUAAUACCGCAUAACAUCGCAAGAUCAAAGCAGCAAUGCGCUGGAAGAGGGGGUCGCGGCUGAUUAGCUAGUUGGCGGGGUAACGGCCCACCAAGGCGAAGAUCGGUAUCCGGCCUGAGAGGGCGCACGGACACACUGGAACUGAAACACGGUCCGGACUCCUACGGGAGGCAGCAGUGGGGAAUUUUGCGCAAUGGGGGAAACCCUGACGCAGCAACGCCGCGUGGAGGAUGAAGCCCCUUGGGGCGUAAACUCCUUUCGACCAAGACGAUAAUGACGGUACUGGUGGAAGAAGCACCGGCUAACUCUGUGCCGGCAGCCGCGGUAAUACAGAGGGUGCGAGCGUUGUUCGGAAUUAUUGGGCGUAAAGGGCGCGUANGCGGUGCCACAAGUCACCUGUGAAAUCUCCGGGCUUAACUCGGAGCCUGCANGCGAAACUGUGGUGCUGGAGUGUGG